rnacentral:tRNA from 1 species
UAUAAAAUGCCUGAAAAAGGGUUAUUCUGAUAGGAUAAAUCAUGUAAUUAAAAAAAUUACUUUUAUAA